GCAGGGGCUGGCCGAGGCGGGGAGGGAGGGAGGAGGGGAGGACCGGAGGAAGAUCUCGUUGUCGAUUGUUGUCGUUGCUUAGGUUUCCCCCCUUUUGGAGAAGAGUUCUCUUGUCAACCGAGAGCGGAGAGGGACAACUCCGCGCGGACGCAGCCAGGUGCGCGCGCGCGGUCCCCACCGCCCCAGCCCUGUCACCUCGGCCAGUGGCCUGCCGGGCGGCCUCCGUCUCCGCGGGACAGCCCUCCCCGCGCCUGGUCUCUUUCGGAGAGGGGGUGCCGUCCGGCUCCUCACCGCGCCUGGCCGUGCAUCGUGGCUCCAGUCGCAACUCGCGGUCUCCUGGGCGCGCAGCCCCACAUCGCUCGGCCCACGCUCCGGCUGCCUCCGUGCAAACCCCACAGUCUCUGGACUUUCUUUUCUUUUCCUUUCCCCCUCUGUUUUUCGUUGGGGUAGCAAAUCUGUGUUUCCUUUCUAGCCUCUUUCCUUCCUUUUUUUUUUUUUUUUCCUUUUGCAGCGGGAGGAGUCGGGGGGAGGGGGUGUAGCUUGAAGAGCUUUAAAAACAAAAACAAAACAAAAACGUCCUGGUGCCGCGGCUACAGUUGUGCGCGGCUGGAACAGCUCGGCCUGGGCCGCCGCUGUCGCCGGCUGUCCCCGGACAGGCGUCCCUCUGUCCCUGGUCUCCUGGCCCAGUCCGCCGCCCCGGCGCGUCUCUCCCCGGCUCCGGCGGCUCGGUCACUGCUCCCGGCUGUUGGCUGGGCUCUGGAAGCCCCCUUGCCUUAAUGCAGCGCCCGCCGACGUCACGGCGGCCUACGACCAAUCAGCGGCUCGCGGUGCCUCUGUAAACCAUCCUGCAUCUCCCGGCUGGGGAGAGUGCCGGGAGACCGCGUUUCGAGGAUCAGUGGCGACUGCCACCGCGGCCCUGCGCGGUGCGGGCGGCGGGCAGCGAGGUGCCCGGGUCCCCUCCUGCUCCGGGGUUUCCGCCAGUCCCCUCGGGCUCUGCCUUCCCCUUGGGGGAGCAGAGGGAGGACUAUGUGGUGAAACAGACACCUCCCUCGGAGAGGAGCCAGCUCACAGCACCAGGCUCUGGAGGCUUCAGCGUGUGAAGACCAUACAGUCCUCUUUGGUGCUGGCAUUCGAGCAGGUAACCCUAGAGCGCUGAGUAGGAGAAGGCAAUGGCACCCCACUCCAGUACUCUUGCCUGGAAAAUCCCAUGGAUGGAGGAGCCUGGUAGGCUGCAGUCCAUGAGGUUGCUAGAGUUGGACAUGACUGAGCAAC